AAUGAACGCUGGCGGCGUGGAUUAGGCAUGCAAGUCGAACGAGAAAACGGUCUUCGGAUCGUUAGUACAGUGGCGAACGGGUGAGUAACGCGUGGGAAACCUGCCCUCGAGUGGGGUAUAACACUCCCAACGGGGUGCUAAUACCGCAUGAGACCACGGGUCCACAUGGGCCUGAGGUCAAAGGUGGCCUCUGCUCGCAAGCUACCGCUCGAAGAUGGCUUCGCGUCCCAUUAGCUAGUUGGCGGUGUAACGGACCACCAAGGCGACGAUGGGUAGCUGGUCUGAGAGGAUGGUCAGCCACACUGGGACUGAGAUACGGCCCAGACUCCUACGGGAGGCAG
rnacentral:rRNA from 1 species